rnacentral:sRNA from 1 species
AUAUUAAAAUCCAGUAAGUUUCUUGGUCUUGAGGAUUAUUCCUGGAAUACUCUUCGCUCCCUGUUGGGCAGGCUUUGGCCAUGCAAGGUGCGCUAGGUGGCCUGAAUCAAACAAAUAAUAGAAGUCUGUUGAAGCUUUGUCCUGACCUAUCCUGGAAGUAGAAUACUCUGGAGAAAGGAGCAUUGUAAGCACAAAGAAUAAGAUUCCUCAAUCCUGAGAGAGAGAAUGAAAGUCUAACUCUCCAAAUGUCUACUCUAUUGUGAUGCUGGGAUUGAAUUUUCCUAGGACUCCGUUUCAAGGUUGAUUCGAAAGUCUUGUGGAAGAUCUGGAAGAAACAGGUAUUAAGU